UGGGGAAUAUUGCACAAUGGGCGCAAGCCUGAUGCAGCCAUGCCGCGUGUGUGAAGAAGGCCUUCGGGUUGUAAAGCACUUUCAGCGAGGAGGAAGGUGGUGAGCUUAAUACGCUCAUCAAUUGACGUUACUCGCAGAAGAAGCACCGGCUAACUCCGUGCCAGCAGCCGCGGUAAUACGGAGGGUGCAAGCGUUAAUCGGAAUUACUGGGCGUAAAGCGCACGCAGGCGGUUUGUUAAGUCAGAUGUGAAAUCCCCGAGCUCAACCUGGGAACUGCAUUUGAAACUGGCAAGCUAGAGUCUCGUGGAGGGGGGUAGAAUUCCAGGUGUAGCGGUGAAAUGCGUAGAGAUCUGGAGGAAUACCGGUGGCGAAGGCGGCCCCCUGGACGAAGACUGACGCUCAGGUGCGAAAGCGUGGGGAGCAAGCAGGAUUAGAUACCCUGGUAGUCCACGCUGUAAACGAUGUCGAUUUUGGAGGUUGUGCCCUUGAGGCGUGGCUUCCGGAGCUAACGCGUUAAAUCGACCGCCUGGGGAGUACGGCCGCAAGGUU
rnacentral:rRNA from 1 species